rnacentral:lncRNA from 1 species
AAAUUCCGUGCCCUACAAACACUGUUUAUCUCCUCUCUACACACUUUGCCCCCUCCCUGACUUGAGCGUCGGAGGGCCGGCGCCGGAAAACCCGGCCACCGGCUUGCCUGCAGGCACCCCAGACGGUGGACGCCGCCCGCUGACGGAUCGCCGCCCCGCCGUGAGGACCCCCUGCUCCCUCUCUCCGGCCACCCCAAACGGAGGACGCCGCCCGCCGACUGGUCGCCGCCCCGCC